AAGCGCGGAUGGGAGAUAACACGGUCAGGAGGGUGGUUUUCCCAGGAUGAGGCUCAUCCAUGGCACUCCGGGCAUGCUGACCCUGUGAUGUCCCCACAUGUAGGAAACUCAACUGCAUAAUCCGUGGUAGUGGAGGGCUGUGUACAUGCUACACCCCCUCC
ensembl:snRNA U1 U1 spliceosomal RNA